GACGAACGCUGUUCGGCGUGCUUAACACAUGCAAGUCGAACGGAAAGGCCCUGCUUUUGUGGGGUGCUCGAGUGGCGAACGGGUGAGUAACACGUGAGUAACCUGCCCUUGACUUUGGGAUAACUUCAGGAAACUGGGGCUAAUACCGGAUAGGAGCUCCUGCUGCAUGGUGGGGGUUGGAAAGUUUCGGCGGUUGGGGAUGGACUCGCGGCUUAUCAGCUUGUUGGUGGGGUAGUGGCUUACCAAGGCUUUGACGGGUAGCCGGCCUGAGAGGGUGACCGGCCACAUUGGGACUGAGAUACGGCCCAGACUCCUACGGGAGGCAGCAGUGGGGAAUAUUGCACAAUGGGCGGAAGCCUGAUGCAGCAACGCCGCGUGCGGGAUGACGGCCUUCGGGUUGUAAACCGCUUUCGCCUGUGACGAAGCGUGAGUGACGGUAAUGGGUAAAGAAGCACCGGCUAACUACGUGCCAGCAGCCGCGGUGAUACGUAGGGUGCGAGCGUUGUCCGGAUUUAUUGGGCGUAAAGGGCUCGUAGGUGGUUGAUCGCGUCGGAAGUGUAAUCUUGGGGCUUAACCCUGAGCGUGCUUUCGAUACGGGUUGACUUGAGGAAGGUAGGGGAGAAUGGAAUUCCUGGUGGAGCGGUGGAAUGCGCAGAUAUCAGGAGGAACACCAGUGGCGAAGGCGGUUCUCUGGGCCUUUCCUGACGCUGAGGAGCGAAAGCGUGGGGAGCGAACAGGCUUAGAUACCCUGGUAGUCCACGCUGUAAACGGUGGGUACUAGGUGUGGGGUCCAUUCCACGGGUUCCGUGCCGUAGCUAACGCUUUAAGUACCCCGCCUGGGGAGUACGGCCGCAAGGCUAAAAUUCAAAGGAAUUGACGGGGCCCCGCACAAGCGGCGGAGCAUGCGGAUUAAUUCGAUGCAACGCGUAGAACCUUACCUGGGUUUGACAUGGAUCGGGAGUGCUCAGAGAUGGGUGUGCCUCUUUUGGGGUCGGUUCACAGGUGGUGCAUGGCUGUCGUCAGCUCGUGUCGUGAGAUGUUGGGUUAAGUCCCGCAACGAGCGCAACCCUUGUUCACUGUUGCCAGCACGUUAUGGUGGGGACUCAGUGGAGACCGCCGGGGUCAACUCGGAGGAAGGUGGGGAUGACGUCAAGUCAUCAUGCCCCUUAUGUCCAGGGCUUCACGCAUGCUACAAUGGCUGGUACAGAGAGUGGCGAGCCUGUGAGGGUGAGCGAAUCUCGGAAAGCCGGUCUCAGUUCGGAUUGGGGUCUGCAACUCGACCUCAUGAAGUCGGAGUCGCUAGUAAUCGCAGAUCAGCAACGCUGCGGUGAAUACGUUCCCGGG
rnacentral:rRNA from 1 species